rnacentral:rRNA from 1 species
GAUGAACGCUAGCGACAGGCCUAACACAUGCAAGUCGAGGGGCAGCACGAAGUAAGCUUGCUUACUUUGGUGGCGACCGGCGCACGGGUGCGUAACAGGUGUGCAAUCUGUCCAUAAUCGGGGAAUAGCCCAGCGAAAGUUGGAUUAAUGCUCCAUGUGAGCUUGAGAGGCAUCUCUCGGGUUUGAAACGUAAGGAUUAUGGGUGAGCACGCUUCUGAUUAGGUAGUUGGUGAGGUAACGGCUCACCAAGCCGACGAUCAGUAGGGGUUCUGAGAGGAAGGUCCCCCACAUUGGAACUGAGACACGGUCCAAACUCCUACGGGAGGCAGCAGUGAGGAAUAUUGGUCAAUGGACGAAAGUCUGAACCAGCCAAGUCGCGUGAAGGAUGAAGGUUCUAUGGAUUGUAAACUUCUUUUGCAUGAGGGUAAAAAAGCGGACGUGUCCGUUCUUGCAAGUAUCAGACGAAUAAGCAUCGGCUAACUCCGUGCCAGCCGCCGCGGUAACAC